rnacentral:lncRNA from 1 species
CGACUGUUGAGGCCGAUCUCAAGCCUGGACUUCCUCACCGGGGACAUGAGUUCCCCGGCCCGGAGUUGCGGUGAGGAUGAAAUGAGAUCACAUGCAGGAAAGCUCUUAGGCAGCAAUGCGGAGCCGCGGAGCCAUUCUCAGGCGGGCGUGUUACUACUGUUUUGCACAGUGUGGGCUUGGCGGGUGUUUGUGGAGCGGAGCCGGAGGCAGAUAUAUUUUUAGUUGAAAUAUGGAGCCACAGCAACACUUUGACUUUUCCUCUUCAGAAGAUGAGACAGGCCGGGGUCAUCAUUGUUACAAAAGCAAGGCCUGUGAUCGUGACAAGGACAGGCUGGGGCAGAGACCACACACUCAACCAGGCUGACCUGGAGAGAGACCCUUCCAAAGGCAGUGGAGUGGAGGGCAUGGGCCUCCGAUGAGAGAACUCCAGAGCUGGCCGGGACCUACUGUGCUGGCAGCAGACAGGUGGACCCUCAGGCCCAGAGCCGGCAGCAGAGGGGGGUGAAUCCAUGGCAACAGGAGUCACAGGUGAACCAAUGG